GCAAGUCGAGGGGUAGCAGUAUAUUAGCUUGCUAAUUUAGCUGACGACCGGCUCACGGGUGAGUAACACGUAUGCAACCUACCUUUUACAGGGGAAUAGCCCAGAGAAAUUUGGAUUAAUGCCCCAUAACAUCAAUCAUUCGCAUGUUUGAUUGAUUAAAGCUCCGGCGGUAAAAGAUGGGCAUGCGUUCUAUUAGUUAGUUGGUAAGGUAACGGCUUACCAAGGCGACGAUAGGUAGGGGGUCUGAGAGGAUAGUC
rnacentral:rRNA from 1 species